ensembl:rRNA 5S_rRNA 5S ribosomal RNA
UUCUUUUAGUUUAUGGCCAUGAACAAGCCCAGUCCUGUCUUAUCUUGGAAGCUAAGCAGGGUCAGGCCUGGUUAGUACUUGAAUGGGAGACCACCUAGGAAUAUCAGGUGCUGUAGGUGU